rfam:Drosophila yakuba strain Tai18E2 v2_Cont689.2, whole genome shotgun sequence.
UUAUAUAUCAUCAUAUGGGACUAACCCCUGAAUUUAAGCAUAUUAAUUAGGGAAGGAAAAGAAACUAACAAGGAUUUUCUUAGUAGCGGCGAGCGAAAAGAAAACAGUUCAAUUAACGAUUUAAGUCCUUCUUAAAUGAGGCCAUUUACCCAUAGAGGGUGCCAGGCCCGUAUAACGUUAAUGAUUACUAGAUGAUGUUUCCAAAGAGUCGUGUUGCUUGAUAGUGCAGCACUAAGUGGGUGGUGGUAAACUCCAUCUAAAACUAAAUAUAACCAUGAGACCGAUAGUAAACAAGUACCGUGAGGGAAAGUUGAAAAGAACUCUGAAUAGAGAGUUAAACAGUACGUGAAACUGCUUAGAGGUUAAGCUCGAUGAACCUGAAUAUCCGUUAUGCAAAAUUCAUCAUUAAAAUUGUAAUAUUUAAAUAAUAUUAUAAGGAUAGUGUGCAUUUUUUCCAUAUAAGGACAUUGUAAUCUAUUAGCAUAUCCCAAAUUUAUCAUAAAAUAUAAUUUAUAGUUUAUUCAAAUUAAAGUGCUUGCAUUUUAAAACAGAAUAAAUGUUAUUAAUUUGAUAAAGUGCUGAUAGAUUUAUAUGAUUACAGUGCGUUAAUUUUUCGGAAUUAUAUAAUGGCAUAAUUAUCAUUGAUUUUUAUGUUUAUUAUAUGCACUUGUAUUAUUAACAAUGCGAAAGAUUCAGGAUACCUUCGGGACCCGUCUUGAAACACGGACCAAGAAGUCUAACAUAUGUGCAAGUUAUUGGGAUAUAAACCUAAUAGCGUAAUUAACUUGACUACUAAUGGGAUUAGUUUUUUAACUAUCUAUAGCUAAUUAACACAAUCCCGGGGCGUAGUUAUGUAUAAUGUAUAUUUAUAUUAUUUAUGCCUCUAAGUGGAACGUACCUUGAGCAUAUAUGAUGAGACCCGAAACAUGGUGAACUAUACUUGAUCAGGUUGAAGUCAGGGAAAACCCUGAUGGAAGACCGAAACAGUUCUAACGUGCAAUCGUACCGACCAAUCGAACCAUCUAGUAGCUGGUUCCUUCCGAAGUUUCCCCCAGGAUAGCUGGUGCAUUUUAAUAUUAUAUAAAAUAAUCUUAUCUGGUAAAGCGAAUGAUUAGAGGCCUUAGGGUCGAAACGAUCUUAACCUAUUCUCUUUAAAUGGGUAACAGCCUUAACUUUCUUGAUAUGAAGUUCAAGGUUAUGAAAUAAUGUGCCCAGUGGGCCACUUUUGGUAAGCAGAACUGGCGCUGUGGGAUGAACCAAACGUAAUGUUACGGUGCCCAAAUUAACAACGUUGAGAGGCGUUGGUUGCUUAAAACAGCAGGACGGUGAUCAUGGAAGUCGAAAUCCGCUAAGGAGUGUGUAACAACUCACCUGCCGAAGCAACUAGCCCCUAAGUUGUAUACCUAUACAUUACCGCUAAAGUGGAUGAUUUAUAUUACUUGUGAUAUAAAUUUUGCAACUGCCAUUGCAUGGAUCUGCCAUUGGUACAGAUCUUGGUGGUAGUACCAAAUAAUCGAAUGAGACCUUGGAGGACUGAAGUGGAGAAGGGUUUCGUGUGAACAGUGGUUGAUCACGAGUUAGUCGGUCCUAAGUUCAAGGCGAAAGCCGAAAAUUUUCAAGUAAAAAACAAAAAUUCCAAACUACAUAAAAAAGCCAAUUAUACAUAUACAUACAUAAAAAAGCCAAUUAUAAUACACUUGAAUAAUUUUGAACGAAAGGGAAUACGGUUCCAAUUUCGUAACUUGUUGAGUAUCCGUUUGUUAUUAAAUAUGGGCCUCGUGCUCAUCCUGGCAACAGGAACGACCAUAAAGAAGCCGUCGAGAGAUAUCGGAAGAGUUUUCUUUUCUGUUUUAUAGCCGUACUACCAUGGAAGUCUUUCGCAGAGAGAUAUGGUAGAUGGGCUAGAAGAGCAUGACAUAUACUGUUGUGUCGAUAUUUUCUCCUCGGACCUUGAAAAUUUAUGGUGGGGACACGCAAACUUCUUAACUGGCCGUACCAAUAUCCGCAGCUGGUCUCCAAGGUGAAGAGUCUCUAGUCGAUAGAAUAAUGUAGGUAAGGGAAGUCGGCAAAUUAGAUCCGUAACUUCGGGAUAAGGAUUGGCUGAAGAUUGAGAUAGUCGGGCUUGAUUGGGAAACAAUAACAUGGUUUAAGUGCUCGUUCUGGGUAAAUAGAGUUUCUAGCAUUUAUGUUAGUUUCUUGUUCCCCGGAUAGUUUAGUCACGUAGCCAAUUGUGGAACUUUCUUGGUAAAAUUUUUAAGAAUACUAUUUGGGUUAAACCAAUUAGUUCUUAUUAAUUAUAACGAUUAUCAAUUAACAAUCAAUUCAGAACUGGCACGGACUUGGGGAAUCCGACUGUCUAAUUAAAACAAAGCAUUGUGAUGGCCCUAGCGGGUGUUGACACAAUGUGAUUUCUGCCUAGUGCUCUGAAUGUCAAAGUGAAGAAAUUCAAGUAAGCGCGGGUCAACGGCGGGAGUAACUAUGACUCUCUCUGUAUCACAAGUUAUCCCUUGGGAGUGUGACGAUAGGCGUCUUAAGAAAGACUGACAAACUAAUACGUUUCUAUGUGCGAAGAUGGCUAAAUCUUCCGUCGGAUGUGCCGGUAGCAUUCGUUCACAUACAUCUGCCUGUUGCCUUGGCACAAUAUCAAAAAGGCAUAAACAUCGCACAUAUUGGUUAUUUACGGCUAUGAGGAUGGUUUUAGUACGUAGGCGUUGCGGAACCUCGGUUCAGAUAGAGCAAUGAAUCGUGCAUGCUAGGUAAACUGACCACACGAAAAAUGGCAGCCCUUGUAUCUUUCGAAGAUUUCCAUACCUUUGCGAUCAAAAAAAAAAAAAACAAAAAAAUAGCCAAAUGCCUCGUCAUCUAAUUAGUGACGCGCAUGAAUGGAUUAACGAGAUUCCUACUGUCCCUAUCUACUAUCUAGCGAAACCACAGCCAAGGGAACGGGCUUGAAAUAACAAGCGGGGAAAAAAGACCCUUUUGAGCUUGACUCUAAUCUGGCAGUGUAAGGAGACAUAAGAGGUGUAGAAUAAGUGGGAGAUAUUAGCCCUCGGUUUGGUAUCGUCAAUGAAAUACCACUACUCUUAUUGUUUCCUUACUUACUUGAUUAAAUGGAACGUGUAUCAUUUCCUAGCCAAUAUACGGAUAUAUUUAUUAUAUCUUGUGGUAUUGGGUUUUGAUGCAAGCUUCUUGAUUAAAGUAUCACGAGUUUGUUAUAUAAUCGCAAACAAAUUUUUUAAUAAAACGAUGCAUUUAUGUAUUUUUGAUUGGAAAAUUUGGUAUAACUCCAUUUACUCAGGUAUGGUCCAAUUCCAGGUAGGGAGUUUGACUGGGGCGGUACAUCUCUCAAAUAAUAACGGAGGUGUCCCAAGGCCAGCUCAGUGCGGACAGAAACCACACAUAGAGCAAAAGGGCAAAUGCUGACUUGAUCUCGGUGUUCAGUAUACACAGGGACAGCAAAAGCUUGGCCUAUCGAUCCUUUUGGUUUAAUGAGUUUUUAACAAGAGGUGUCAGAAAAGCUAUCAUAGGGAUAACUGGCUUGUGAAGCAAAAUUCACCAAGCGUAGGAUUGUUCACCCAUGCAAGGGAACGUGAGCUGGGUUUAGACCGUCGUGAGACAGGUUAGUUUUAACCUACUAAAGACAAAACGUUGUUGCGACAGCAUUCCUGCGUAGUACAAGGUCGUAUCCGUGCUGGACUGCAAUGAUAAAUAAGGGGCAAUUUGCAUUGUAUGGCUUCUAAACCAUUUAAAGUUUAUAAUUUACUUUAUAAACGACAAUGGAUCUGAUGCCAAUGUAAUUUGUAACAUAGUAAAUUGGGAGGAUCUUCGAUCACCUGAUGCCGCGCUAGUUACAUAUAAAAGCAUUAUUUAAUACUAUGACAAAGCCUAGAAUCAAUUGUAAACGACUUUUGUAGCAGGCAAGGUGUUGUAAGUGGUUAAGCAGCUGCCAUACUGCGAUCCACUGAAGCUUAUCCUUUGCUUGAUGAUUCGA